GAGGAAUAUUGCUCAAUGGGCGCAAGCCUGAAGCAGCGACGCCGCGUGGAUGAAGAAGGUUUUCGGACUGUAAAAUCCUUUUCUGUGUGACGAGAGUGGACGGUAGCACAGGAAUAAGUCUCGGCUAACUCCGUGCCAGCCGCCGCGGUAAUACGGGGGGGGUAAGCGUUGUUCGGAAUUACUGGGCGUAAAGGGCUCGUAGGCGGCCAACUAAGUCAUACGUGAAAUCCCUCAGCUUAACUGGGGAACUGCGUGUGAUACUGGAUGGCUUGGAUUUGGGAGAGGGAUGCGGAAUUCCAGGUGUAGCGGUGAAAUGCGUAGAUAUCUGGAGGAACACCGGUGGCGAAGGCGACAUCCUGGACCGGCAUUGACGCUGAGGCGCGAAAGCCAGGGGAGCAAA
rnacentral:rRNA from 1 species